GAGGCCCGCAAGGACGCGGCCGCGGUGCGCCGUGUGGAACCUCCGCGGGAAGCCCUCCGCUGGAAGCCCUCCGGGGCGCCCUCUGCAGGCGGGCGCAUCUCAGGGCCCUCGGAGCGUAAUUCGUCCGCCGUGAGGAGACUCCGCGCUUUUUGAUGUGUGCUGACAGCUUGCGCCUCCCUCCUCUUUGUUCUCUCGUGCCCACACCUGUACCCGCUGAGGAGAAAGUCCUGAGGCUCCCUGCUCUGGCAUUCUACCAGACCCUGGCCAUGGAGCGUGAAGGGCUGGUGCAGAAGUACCUGCACCUGCUACAGAUGGUGGAGGUGGAGAAGAUAGUGGCCAAGCAGCUACGGCAGCAGGUCAAGGAUGGGGAGAUCGAUAUCCAGUGGCUGAAGGCAGAGGAGGUAAAGGUGGAUGUUAGUGUCACCUCCACUAUAGAGAUGAGGCAACAGGCUCAGGGAGGUGAAGGGACGACUGAGGCCAGACACGGACUCUCCAGAGCUCCCCUGCCCUCCAGCCACGGAGGCUUCUAGGACUUGUUCCAUAUCCUGCUGCCCAUGCUCAACAUCUAUCAGGAGUUGCUCCCCAGCCACCAGUACAGCCUGAAGAUCCUGGCCCACUACAAGUGAACAGCGACUGUGACAAUCUGCUGAAGCACCAGGAGGCCAAACCAACUGUGAGGAGAGGAUGCUGGAGACCUUCCUCACUGACCCCAUGUUCCAGGUGGUGCCCAGCGCUGUUCUUGAGGGUGCAUGCCUGGGGAGCCUGCUGGGGGCCCAUGGCAAUGAAGGCCGCAACUGGGAGGAAGCCACAGCCCUAACAGCCCCCAGCCCUGGGCUGCCUGGAGAAUGUGGUUGGAGCCAGCCCCUGACCCGGCUGACCGCAGGGCUGUCCAGCUCCACAGAGCAGGCAGUGUGGGAAGAUGAGGGGAGCUCCUGGUCCUGAGCUCACCUCCAGGCCCUGUCUCCUGCCGGGGUAGAGCCUCAAGCUCUGGGCUCCUGUCCCAGACAAGACCCUGAGGAUCCUCCAAGUUAGAGUCUGGGAUCAGAAGUGCUGUGGGUAUCCGUCCUCAGCCCUGCUCUAGGAGUGCUGGGAGCUGAGAGAACCAGUCUCUUCCCCCUUUUUCUCUCUCUCUAUGCCUCUACAUCGCUGCUCUGUCUCUUUCUUGUAUCAUCACUGUCUCUCCUUGCCUCUGUCUCCCUGUCCCUCUAUCCUUCCCCAUUCUUGCCUCUGUCCCCCUACCUUUCCCUGCCGCAGAUCCCAGGCACAUCCUGACACUGCAUGAGCUCCUGGCCCACUUUUCAUGAGCACAUUGAGCCGACAGCCUGAAUGAUGCCGAGGCUAAGCUGUAGGAGCUGCGCGGGUGAGCCCGGCCCUGCGCCCCCACCAGUGCACAGGCCAGGGCUUAGGAUGCUCCUCAGUGGGAGUUUGCUGAGCCCCAGAUGGUAAAAGCUCCUGUUCAGGCUAGGAUUCUAAGGGGUGAGGGUUGGGGGACCCCCAGCCUACCCCACCUGGAGCAGUCUGAGGAGUUUACAGCUCAAGCCCAAGUGGGCACCUGGUGGGGUGUGGUGGGUGGUGUGCUGUCCCUGGCACAGAGGGGGUUCAAGGAAGGACCCUGGGCACUCACGUGGGCCCAUCUGCCAGGACAGGGAUCUGCCCCAGGACUCACAGAUACUCUCUGCCAAAUCCUUUGUUCUCCAGUGUCAAGGUGUCAAAACCUGUGGUAUAGGAGCCCCACAGGGGGUCCUGGGUGACGGGCCUUCAUGUGCCCAAGGCUCCAGUCAACAGCAGGCAGUGUCAUGGGUGGACAAGCCUGUGGCUUGUCCAGUGUCGGAGGCCCCAGACCUCUAGUUGAGGCCCCUCAGCUGCCCCUUUUUCAGUCCCUGAAGCCUAGGGGGACCUUCCUGUGCUGGGCAGAAGCAGAGGGACCAGGGAGGAGGCGCCGACAACAGUUCAGGCAGCAGCUGACAGUGGCCUGCACCAGGUGGUGGCAGUGGAGGCGAGGAGGAGGGUCAGAUUCUGGAUGUGUUUUGCAGAUGGAACCGACAGGAGUUUCUGAUGCAUUAGAUGUGGGGAGGGAGAAGAUUGGAGUCAAGGGUGAUUCCAGAGCUUUUGGCUGAGCAACCAGAAGGUUGGAGUUGCUGCUAACCGAGAUGGAGAAACCUGCAGGAGGGGCAGAAGUCUUUCUUGCUGCAUUGGAGCUUUACUGGGGGAUGUGGAACCUGAGAUGGACAACAGUGGUGGAGAUGACAAGUAGGGAGUAGGGUGUUUGAGUCUGGAGUUUAAGGGAGCCAGACAUUCAAGUCAUCAGCUGGGAGAUGGUAUUUAAAGUCACAAGCCUGGUGAGAUCACCAGGGGAGUGAGUUUAGGCAGGAACGAGAUACGAACCAAGAGCUGAGCCCUGGGGCCUCCACCAUAUGGAGGCCAAGAGAUGACAAGCAGCCUUGUACUCAGAGAUGGGCUGCCAGAAGCUGCAAAGGAGGGUCGUUCUACAGCACGUGGUGUCAUGUCCCCAGACCUGCCAACCACUCAGUGCCCUAAAUGGCUUCCCAAGUCCAGUGAGAGCAGCCAUUGAGGCCACGGCUCCCAGCUGGGCAGAGGGAGGACCAGGCUGGACCAGGGCAGGACACAGGCCUAGAGUAGAGGUCCAUUCAGAGAGAGGAUAUAGUCAGAGUGUCAUUGCAGACUAACAAAAAUCAUUGCAGGGUGGAGACUCCAGCCUCUCAUGCCCCAAGGAGCCAAAUCCUGUGCAUUUCCCCAAGGAGAAGACUGGGGGCUCCAGUGAGGCUCCUCAUCACUGGGAUGCCCUGCCCCGGUGCAGGCAGGGGUGAGGAAGGCACAUGGGUGCCAAAGUAUUUGGCAUAAGACCCCAAACUGCUUUCCCCCAGUGUUUGUCCCACCUGACCACCUGUACCUGGCCUGAACCCAGCCCUAGUGGCACAGAAGAGGAUUUCCUAUUGCCAUGACAACAGCCCUUUCAUCUCCUCUCUCCCUCCCAUGGGGACUGAGGAAAGCUCCCAGCCCAGCAGGAAGCCAUCAGGUAACCAACCUUCCCUGGCUGUGCUCAGAAACGCUCCUCCCCUGGGCUGGCUCUCUCCUACCUCUGGCCUUUGUCCCGCUUUUUCUCCUGAACCUUAUCUCCUGGGUUCACUGAUAACCCAGGUCAUCGCUUCCAGUUCCCCCAGGAGCCUGUGGCCCUGGAAACCCCUGCUGCCUUCCCGGAGCCUCCCCAGCUGCAUGUGCAUGUGGGUCCAUCGACACGAACCCCAGCCUGGGGCUGGCACUCAUCCUGAGCAGCUGCAGUUUACACGUGUCUAACAGCGAAACUGGUUUUGCUACUGUGGAAUCUCCCCUUUGAUUUUUAGCACAUACAGUCCUCCUCAGCAAAAUCCCCACCCUCACCAAAGGAAAUGCUUCUGCUUACUUUUGCUUCCUUCCCAGAAUGAAUCCCUACCCAGGGAACUAGCAUAUCCUUCAAAGGUGCCUCCCUGUCCCAUGUUCCUUCCAGAAGAACGCUAGGGCCUGGGCUUCUGAGAAGAGCAUUGCUGGGAGGGGGGACUGAGGCUCCUAAGGAAGAGACCCCACUCAAUGCCCCAGUCUGAUAACCAGAAAAAAUAACGGACAAUAUAUAUAUAUUUUUUUAAUUAAUGUUAUGAUAGAUUACAACCUUGUGAGAUU